AAAUAUAUGUACCAGCUAUAGAAAAUAAAACAAUUUAUGUAAGUUUCAAUAGUGAGCUUUUGGACAAAACGACGAAAGAUAAUAGCUGAUGUUGAAUAUUGCCUAAAAGAUCUAACUCUUAAAUCAAGCAAUAUUUCACAUUCACCAGAGGAAGUACAAUCAUUGUAUUUAAAAAGUAUAUCAGAUCGAAAACUUUCAACUGAGAGUGUUAUUCCAUCAGGUGCAAAUAAUAUUGAUUGUGAAGUGAACUCUGACAGUAAUCUAUUGAUAUUAAAUAUUGGCAUUAGACAAGUUAUUUUAAGUAAUAAUUUAAGUUUUUUAAAGAAAAAAGAUUGUAUACCAAUUCAAGUCAAUAUUGAUGAUUUACCAUUGUUUAAAAGCAGCAUUGGACAAUUUUGACCAAUAUUAGGUUUAAAAAAUGUGGAUAAACAAUAUUCAACACAAUAAAACCCCAUUUAUAAUCGGUCAUUUUUAUAGUAGGUCUAAACCAAAAGACCGUAAUGAAUAUCUAAAAAUGUUUGUUAAUGAAAGUAUUGCUUUAUUUGAAUCUAGUAUUAGUAUUAAUGGUAAAGUAUAUAAGUUUGCUAUAUCAGCUUUUAUUUGUGGUACACCAGCUUGAUCAUUUAUAAAUGGAAAUAAAGGACAAUAAAUAAGAUAAAGCCUAUUAAUAAAUGUUAUGCAAUAAUUAAUGGCAUUAAUUUGAUAUCUUUUUUUUUUUUAAUUUUUUAAAAAAUAUUCUUCAGUAUAUAUAUUACUGAUGCUUUUUCUAUAUUUUUUUGUAGAUAAUAGCUGUGGCAAGUAAAGGAGGUCAGACUUUAAAGGAGGCUGUCCAGAGAAUGUCUUUUGCGUUAUUCACUAAUAACCUCUGCUAUAAACUUAACUGGUCUGGUAUUACUUUAAAUGACAAUGAAAGUAACUUUGUAAAACAAAGACUUACACUUGCUUAAAAGAGCUGUAAAAAGAAAUCCUGCAACAACUUCAGCAACUGAAUCAGAUUUUCAAUAUGAGGUUGUGCGUUUUUUGCGUGGUGCAUCAGACCGCAAUGGCGGAAAAAAGUUAGACAAGACCAAAAAAACAAACAAGCCAAGAAAAAAGUGAUGCCUACAUCAAGUUUUUAUUAAUUAAAUAAAGAGGCAUUUUUUAGUUCAGAAGAUGAAUAAUAUUGUUAAAUAAAAUAAGCAUCUUUAUUUAAAAAUUUGUUACCUUUAUUUUGUUGAAAACUAUUUUAUAUAUUUUUAAAUAUUUUAAUUUUUAAACUCAAUAGAGUAAAGUUUUUGUGCAAUGAGUAUUACUGUUUCUGUGUUUUUCAUAUUCAUUCCCUUUUACAGUAACCUUUUGUAUAUGAGAUUGUAAAUGAAAAUUUAAAUCGUGAUAUUGAAUCUUGCCCGAGAAUAAAGAAACCUCAACCAGAGUUAUAUUUCAUAGAAUUAUGUUGACCAUGAUCCAACUAUUGCCAUGGAUGUGCACUUGUGUCUUAGGCUUAUGCUUUGCAAAAGGUUCACCAUCGCCCUUAAGUUGCUGUGGAUUUUACGGUUUUACUUCCAACCUGGCAUAUAAUAUCUGAAGUUAUUUGUCAAUAACUGGUGAUCAGACUAUUUCAAACGAAUACGUUUUAUAAGGGCUGAGAAGGUGAAAGUUAGAAGUCUGCAGACUGCAACGUAAAUCAAUUUUCAACACAUGGUUUCCUGAAUAUAUUUAGUUUUCGAUUAAAAUGAGAAUAAACUGAACUUAUAGAUA
rnacentral:lncRNA from 1 species